rnacentral:lncRNA from 1 species
CGUGUGCUUGUACAAUGUAGUUGGUUUUAAAUUUUGACUGAUAUUAUUUUAUUUUAUAUAAAACAUUUCUGUGAAUAGGAACAUAGCACUAUACUUAAAUGGUAAAAGAAAAACAUAUUGGUAAUUACACAUACCAAAAAAUAUUGUUAGCUGUUAAAGGAUGGGGCAAAGAGGCUAACACUGCUAGCUGAUAUUGUCAUACAAGUGAAGAAAAAUAGACCCGGUUUACGGAGGUGGGAAUUGAAAUGAUGAGAUAUAAGAUGUUUUGUUACUUUGUUAGAAUGAACCUGUCCCAUAUAUAUUUAAUUGUGUAUGUGUGUUAGUGUAAGGUAGACUGUUAAAUGCGUCAAUCUGCAAAUACUCCUUAAUUGGUGGUUUUCAAUCUGUAACUCUCUCUCACAUGUAGCCAACAUUUGAAAAUAUUCAACUUUCAUCAAAAUCUUGGUCCAGUCAUAUAAAUAUGUUUUAUAUAUUUCAAUGGUUGAGUUUUACUAUAUGAAACAAGAAAAAAAUGUCUUGUAAAAGUAAAUUCUUUAUAUCAUCAAAAUCGUUUUAAAUGUACUGCUAUUCAAUUAUGGUUUUCCCGUAUUGUAAUUUACCGUAUUUUCCCACCAUCAUUGUCCUUAACUACGGGACCUGUCGUUAUCACACAGAGCAUGUGUGAAGAGAACCAUGAUAAAAAAAUGCAAACAAAUUUCCACUAGAAGUUAAAUAGUAGUUUGUUAAGACCAAUUUGAUGCAACAAAUCAUUUAUCAACUAUUGAGAAAGCCUUUAAUUUACAAAUGGGAACGCAUGGAAAAAAUAAAGAACAUAAAUGAUCUAGUACCUAUUUUUGUCGGACGUUCUCUGUGUUGAUUGUUCAUCAAUGUCACAAUCAGAUAAACUUCAGCAACAAACUCAAAAACUUAUAAGCUAGCAAUCAACAAUCAUUUAAUGACAUAGUUUUUGUCAACAAUCUAAUUUAAAUUUGUAAUAAAUAUAAAACAAAAAAGUACAUGCAGGACUUAGUUUAGUUGUUU